rnacentral:misc_RNA from 1 species
AACGCAUCUUGCACCCUUUGGUAUUCCAAAGGGUACGCCUGUUUCAGUAUCAUUAUAACCUUUCUCCCCAAGGCUUUUUGGCCAAGGAGGGAAAGAGCAUAACCGGUGGCCCAGCGGUCUCCCAUCAGGGGGAUUGUCUCGGCUGGAAUGACUGUUGCAAUGGUGGGCCAAAUGGUCUUCCGCACUUGAUAAAUGUACUUUUAUAAAGAGCGGGGCCGGUCUACCGAGAGUUGUAACUAAACCCUUUACCUUUGAUCUGAAAUCAGGCGGGAUUACCCGCUGAACUUAA